ACUAUCUUGGCAGAUAAGUGCGUUAAAUUUAGGAUUUAUAUAUGUAGAUUUUUCUACAGGUAGUA
rnacentral:tRNA from 1 species